AUAAAGGGUGUUCGACCCAGGCCGUUUACUUGUGAUAAGGGAGGGGAACUUAAGCGAUUAAAAAAAAUACAUAAGGGGUGUUCGACCCAGGCCGCUUAGUUAUGGUAAGGGUGGGGAACUUAAGCGAGUAAAAGAUGGAUAAAGAGUUGAGCGUGUGAUCAAGAACCCUUUGUUUUAUUCAAGAAUUUUGGGAUGCCUCAUUAAAAAUUGCCUGGCCAAAACCCUCCUUAGGGAAAGAUGCUAGGUGAGGAAAAAGAGUACGCCCAAGGUUACAAGUAUUCGGUACAGUAAGUAGUCUAAUUGAAGUAAAAUUUAAGAUGAGAUACAUUCCAUGUAUUCGGUAUCUCUUCGCCUAAUAAUUGUUCAAGUUUGUAAGCACCGCCUCCUCAAUCAUCACAUAUUUGGUACGGGCUAUCCCAAUUGGCGGAGAAUUUUCCAUCCUUCUUUCUUGCGCUGCUGGCCAUUCUCCAAACUAGGUCUCCCUUUGCGAAUGAUCGCGGACAUAAGUUCGUGUUAUAUUUUCCAACCGCUCUCCAAUUAGCUGGUUAGUUGACUUACACAUAAUUCAUAGCUGGUUAGUUGACUUACACAUAUUAUAGCACUUAAAAUUACAAAAAGAUACCUUCAAUCUCAACAAUCAAAUGAACCGAAUUAUAAACCCUAAUUAAGCCCUUAGUGGGCAGCCUAUCAUUAAACUUCAUCGGCGUCUCCACCACCUCCUUAUUUGCCACUGACAACUUCUUAAUCUUCAUGUCCUUAUAUCGCCAAGGGUUAUCGGUCAAACUAAGAAAGAACUUAGUACUCCCGUCAUAGUUAUAGAAAUAUGAUCUCCUAGCCUCUUUCACUACUGCUUUGAAGAAUCCAUCCUUGAAAUGUUUGAAUGACUGGGUGAACGCGUCCAGUCUGCUUAUACUUGGCUGACUCACCAAAGAUAACCAUGUCGUCAGCUGCCGUGGUCUUGUCAUAGAAAUACAAAAAUGCUUGCGGAGAAGGUUGCAUGUAUAACGAGCGGCUGAGAAUGCGAAAGGCUUGCAAGUACGCCUAACUAUUCGGAUGUAGCUGGGUAGGAGCAACAUUUUGUAGACGAAUUACCCCUAUGGUAAAGUCAUCAAACGGUAGCCUCACGUGCAAUUGUGAAAAAUGACACAUAUAUAUGUAGAAAAACUUAUCAGUCGCUCCCUCCUGGCCGUGGCAGACGCGUUCAAUAACAAUCACUCGCUCCAAAGACAUUAUAUCACGGCUUACAUCCCUCCCUACGACAGGAGUACAGUUAAGCUAUUAAUUAAGCAACCUUGACCAUCUAAAUAAUGAAUAUUGAUUCUGGACAUCUGUAGUGACCCAUUCAUAACCAGUUAGCUGACCAACUACACUCUACUAUCUCCUCUAGAAGGUCUUCCCUCACCUCAGUUACCGUUUCCAUCGGAAUCCUCCAUGUCCCAACCACAGGACUGUCAUUCCCCUCAUGAGAUUGUCUACCUACACCUUCCCUAGAUCACCCACUCCCAUUACUCGAUGUAGAUAAUGAAAUACUAUCGCUAGUAAUAGACAUAACUUUUUUAGUAAGUAAGAUGCCGGUAGGAACACAAAACUAAUCGGACAGCUCUAACGCACACAAAUCACUAAUCUCAGAUUUCUUACAAAUGAGCCAACAUGAACAAACUUUCAAUAGCAUCCUCAUUUAUAAACAUCAAUCUGAACCGCUACAAUUCCUUCCCGCCAAAAGUUAUAAGACACACGAAGUGUCACAACGCAUACGAAAAGUCACAAUACUUCAAACGACGGUGCAAAACCCUUAUGAUUAGACCACUAACAUCUACACCUUUUCACCUACCACCACCUAUUAGGACUUUAGCCUUAACACUGUUCAUCACACUUAAAGGCUGGGGAACUGGUGUACUGCACCUAGGCGGCCUAACAAAAAUGCUUACACUUCUCAUUCUUUGUCACUAUAGGUAUACCGACACAGGCUAGGGGACUGGUGUACUACACCUAGGCGGCCUAAUAUGACUAUAACAGUAAAAUCCACCUACAUAACCCCAGGGAUGCAAAUAGUAACCAAAUAAAUCAAGCGGACAAGAGUAAGCAGACAAGAGUAAGCGGCCUAAGCCGCCUACUUCAGAAGACGAAACGAGAACCUGACGACCCUUACAGACUUAAAGAAUUACUACCAAAGCCCCUAAGGCCCACAAUGAUUGAGCUAAGGGGCUUGGGCUAGGUCCAGGCCCACUUGUGGCCCAAAUAAGGGCCUAGCCUAUGACGUGGCCAGACAUAAUUAAUAAACUAUAAAUACGCGUGGACCCCAACAAUUAAAGGUAUGCAUUCAUUAAUCUCUUAAUCACGAGAUUUGACUUUUUGAGAAUCCUUUGCUGACUUGAGCGUCGGAGACUUGAGCGUCGGAGUCUUCUCCGCAGGUAACCCCUCUUUGGUACAGGCCAGUCCAAGCCGAGAUACCCGUAGUUAACAUAUGCAAGUAGGAGGAAGCCUACUAGAGAGAUUGUGGAUUGAGGUAAGGUGAUAUUUGUGUUUGACAUCUCUUAUUUGUUCUCCGCAGGAAUAAUAGUAUUGCAGAAGGAUAGGGUCUUUGAUUUCGAAUUCAUCGUUCAGAUGGCCUACUGUGAGCUUGGAAUUGGUUAGGAUAAGCCAACUAGGAUGGCUUCAUAUUCGGCUUGAUUGUUGGAGGUUUUAAAGGCGAAGUGGAGAGAUUUUUCGAUGAGGAUAUCGUUAGGGCCUUCUAAGACGAUAUCGGCUCCUGCACCCUUUGGAUUUGAAGAACCGUCUACACAAAGUGUCCAUUGGUCUUCUUCUAGGGUGUGUUGAAGGUCAUUGAUGAAGUCAAAAAGGCAUUGAGCUUUGAUGGGGCCGUGUGGUUCGUAACGAAUGUUGAACUCAGACAAUUCCACGGCUCAAGAUGACAUGCGACCAGCAAGGUCUAGCUUUUGGAGUAUUUUCUAAAUGGGAUAAUCGAUCUUGACGAUGAUGUUGUGGUUUUGGAAGUAGGGGCGUAGGCGUCGUGCUGCAUGCACUAAGGAUAGUGCUAGCUUUUCCACCAUUUGUAGUUUCUGGGUCUUACAAGGUUCGGCUAACAAAGUAUACGGGGCGUUGAGUACCAAUGAUGUCCUGAACUAGCGCGACACUUACAGUGUGAUUUGUUGCGGUAAUGUAGACGAGGAGGGGUUGGUGGAGGUCCGGCUUAUGGAGGAUAGGUGGAGUUGUAAAGGAGGUUUUGAGGUUUUGGAAGACUUGCUCACAUUCGUCGUUUAAAGAGAACUUGGCAGAUUUCUUGAGUAGUUGGAUGAUGGGUUGGGUUUGCUCGGCUAAUUUGGGUAGGAAGUGGGAGAUGGCGGUUAAGCGGCCAAUGAGGCAUUGUACUUCUUUGAUAAUGUUGGGGCUUCGCAUAUCGAUUAUGGCAUUACACUUUUUGGGGUUUGCUUCGAUGUCGCGUUAUGUUAGCAUGAAGCCAAGGAAUUUCCCACGAUCGACGCCGAAAAUGCACUUUUCAGGGUUGAGUCUGAGGUUGUACUAUCGUAAUGCGGAAAAUACUAUGGAUAAGUCCUGCGCAUGCUGGUGGUGGCUUGGGGAUUUGACAACCAUGUCGUCGACAUACACUUCGGCACACUUGCCCAUUAUGUGGCUGAAGACUUUGUCUAUCAAUCGUUGAUAAGUUGCUCCUGCGUUUUUUAGGCCGAAAGGCAUGACCUUGUAAAAGUAGUUGGGAUCGUCAGUGAUGAAAGCGGUCUUUUUCAUGUCGGUUGUGGCCUUUGGGAUCUGCUUGUAUCCGGAGUAUGCGUCCAAAAAACUAAGGACCUUGUUACCGACUGCACUGUCAACUAGCCGAUCAAUGUUGGGUAGGGGAUAAGCGUCUCUAGGCAGGCCUUAUUGAGAUCCGUAUAGUCAACACACAUGCGCCAUUUGCCAUUUACUUUUUUUACCAGAACCACAUUGGAUAGCCAGGUGGUGCAGUGGGCUUCCUUGAUGAAGCAUGCGUUAAGUAACUUGUCGACUUCUACUUUUGCUGCCAAUCGACGUUCUUCACCGAGUUUCCGCUUCUUUUGGGAGACAUAUCUGGCUUCCUUAUAGAUAGACAACUUGUGGACUACGACUUGAGGGUCGACGCUGGGUAAGUCUGUGGCUGACCAGGCAAAUAGGUCGGUGUUGUUGAUGAGGGUGGGUGUCAGGAUAUCACGCUGUUCUUGUUGGAGGCCGGUGCCUAGCUUGAGGGUUCGGCCAUUAGAGAGUUCCAUGGGUACAAUGUCAUCAACUGGUUCGAGACGUGCGUCGCGUCCUAGCCUGGGAUCCAAGUCAUUACCUGACAAGGCUAUGUCAGAGUCGGGUGGGCGUUCAAUGUUGUUUGUUCAGGAUUGGUAAUUAGGGACGUAGGCUAUCCAUGUAGCAUUCUCGUGCGAGUCGUUGGUCGUCGUGGAUGGUAAGGAUGUGACCAAACGGAAAGGGGAAUUUUAUGGCAAGGUGAAGUGUAGAGAUGAUAGCGCCUAAAGUGUUGAGGGAUGGUUGGCCGAGGAGGACAUUGUAUGAUGUGGGCGUGUCGACAAUAAGGAAGCAGAUGCAAAUUGUUUUGGAUUGAAUGCCAUUGCGAAAAAUAGUUUGAAGGUCUAUGUACCCACGACUGGAAAGCUUCUCCCAAGAGAAACCGUAUAUAGGUUCGUGAUAGGGGAUCAUGGCAUUGGUGGGAAGCUGGAGUUUUUGGUAUGUUGUCCAGUAUAGAAUGUCAACCGAGCUGCCCUGGUCGAUGAGGACCUUUUUUACCACGUAGUUCUCAAGUUUGAAAGUGACGACCAUGGGAUCGUCCUGCUGGUGGUCGACGCCAUGGAAAUCAUCAUCGGUAAAGGUAAUGAGGGGCAUGCGACAUCUGUGGUGAGAGUGGGUUAUGUGGUUAAUAGACUGGAGUUGGCGAAGAUGUUUCUUUCUAAGUGAGGAGGUGGAUCCACCGCUAGCAAAGGCUUUAGAGAUGGUGUUAAUUGUGCCACGUAGUUGGGGAUUAAACAGGGUGAUGUCAGUACGGGGAGGUUGUGGGUCUUGGCUGGUUGGGUGGGUGGGGCGUCAGUCGUGGUAAGUACUGCGGGGGGGAUAUCUGUGAUCGGAUCAUGAUGGAUGUGGGCGUUCGUCUCUACGGAUAAAGCGGCGGAAAUGGCCUACGCGAACCGAUUCUUCUAUUUUAUCUUAGAGUGCUUUGCACUCAUUUGUGGUAUGGCCAUUGUUUUUGUGGUAACGACAGUACUUGGUCAUGUCUGCGUUGGGAGGGUUAGAUGUUUUCCGAGGUGGUGGGAUGAGGUCGGCAUGGAGGGCUUCGUCAAGAAGGCGGGAUCUAGGACACUUAGCGACGCGUAUCUGGUGAAACGUGGUUGUCUGGGUUCUCUAGGUUUGGAGUCAGGCCAUGGGGGUGGUUUAUCAGGGGUUGUAGUUGAGGGGGUGUAAUCAUUGUAGAACUUGGUGUGAAGGGUCUGCAUCUCUUCCAUGUGGAUAUAGUCCGCGACACGUAGCUUAAGUUAAUGCAUAGAUGCGGGUGGGUGGAGGUAGACGUUAUUUGCGAACUGUUCAGGUUUGAGGGUGAGGGCCAUAAACUGUAGUAUCAUUUCUUGGUUGAGAUGGGGUUUGCAGAGGUUAGCCUUACUAAAGCGACCGAUGAAAGCCCGCAGCGUCUCGUCUUGUUCUUGUCUGACACCGAGGAGGGAGAGAGUGGUGGUUUGAUGUAGGCGGCUGCCAGCGAAAUGGGUAGUAAACAUGUGGGAGAGUGUGUCAAAACAGUCAAUGGAGUAUGGCGGGAGGGUAGUGAACCAUUCAAGGGCGGGACCUUUGAAAGUGGUGGGAAAAGCUUUGCAGAAGAUGGCAUCGUGGGAUGUAUAGAGGGCGACAUUGGUUAUGUAUAUUUUCAGGUGUGCGUCAAGGUUGGUUUCUCCCGUAUAACGAGUCAGUGUGAAGGGUUCCCAUUAGGCAAGGAGAGGGGUGUUGGUGAUGGCAUCAGUCAAAGGGUGGCGACGCCUGGGUGGUUGGGGUGGUAAUGGGUGUGGCAGAAUUGGGUGGUGGACGAGGGUAGGGAAAGUAGUGGUGAAGUUGUGAGGCGGUAUAUGAGUAGUAGAAAAUGUGGUUGCGGGGGUAGGUGUUGCGGUGUGUUUGGGGAGGGUGGAGAUGAUGGGUGUCUGCUAAGUGGUGGUGAAGGUGUGCGGGGUAGGGUUGUACUUGUUUUCUUCCUCAUUGGACUGGUAAGCCGGAGACUUGGGAGACUCUGACGCUUCCCUGGCUUUCCCCUUCUAGGUGGGGUCAGCCUCAAUCUUCCUCCUCAGCCGUGAGUUUUAUUGCCUGAGUGCCUCCAUCUCAUCAGCACUACGCUUUCUCAGAUCAAUGAGCUCUUGUUGCAUCUUAACUUGGCCUUCAAGGAUAGUGGCCAAGUCCGGGGUGGUGCUGGCAGGCGCUGUGGGACCUGCUUCCGGUUGCUUCGUGACUUCAGCUCUGUUACGAGUAGAAACCAUCGUCGAUAGUGUGUGCAUUGAUAUGUAAGGUUUUAUAUUUUGCCCCACGGUGGGCGCCAAUUGUUCUUACGGAGAAUAAAUAAGAGAAGUCAGACACAAACAUCACCUUACCUCAAUCCGCAAUCUCUCUAGUUGGCUUCUCCUUGGCUCACGCAUGUCAUCUGCUGGUAUCACGGCUUUGACCAAUGAGGGGUUACCUGUGGAUAGGACUCCGAUGAUCAAGUCAGCCAAAAGAUUCUCAGAAAGUCAAAUCUCGUGAUUAAAGGAUUAAUGAAUGCGUACCUUUAAUUACUGUGGUCCGUGCGUAUUUAUAGUUUAUUAAUUAUGUUUGAACUUGUCAUGGGCUGGGCUAUUGUUCGUCCUAGGGGUUUUGUCUUAAUAUUCUAAGUAUGGAAUGGUCGACAGAUGUUGUCUUGUCCCCUGAAAUAGGCGGCCUAAGCCGCUUAUGGUUGUCUGUUGAUUUAUUUGAUAACUGUUUGCAUGCUCGCGGGGUCUUAUGUAGGCGGGUUAUACCGUAUAGUUGUGUUAGGUCGCCUAGGUGCAGUAAAAGUUCCAUUGUUGAAUAUGUAUUUGAAUCAAGAUAGCCCCUCUCAAAUGAAAGAUGGCCUUCCCUCCCUACAGAAUAAAUUAAGUUUUUGGAGAAUAUUCUUGAGAGUCAAAAAAAUGUCAAUCAUGACUAGCAAGACUGUAAUGAUUAUGUCACCAACUGAUCUAUAGGUUUUGGUUUUCAUUUUAAAGGGUACUGGAGCAUAUUAUUUGUUAUUGGACAAUUGGUUUCGUGUUUCUAUUUUUCUGAUGGUUAUGCUGGAGUUAAGUUUCAGGAGUCCAUGGUGUGUUUCUUAAGCUCCCCCAAUAUUUUUAAUAUUUCAUAAACAAUCGUGGAUCCAAAGAAAGGGAAUGUCGGAAUGAUUGCAUAGGGUUUUCCAUUUUUCAAUGUAGUAUGUUAUAGUUUGUUUUGUUACGGAGUUUUGAUUGUUCUGUGUCAGAAUAUUGUGUUUGCGGGUUUUGUAAUACUUUGGGUAACAUGUAAGUUGUUGAGAUGCUUAUGUAUAUGUUGAACACCAAGCAAAUUUUAGUAUAUUUUUUAAUGCUUUAGUAUUGUUGUA